ACUUGUCUAGCUUAGUUGGUAGAGCUCAAGGUUUUUAACCUUGAGGUUGUGGGUUCGAGACCCGUGGUGGGUG
rnacentral:tRNA from 1 species